CCUGUGGGGAAAGGUUAUUAUUUUUAUUUUAUGCUUUGUGUUUUCAUGAAAUUAUUGGUUUAACCUACAGUCCUUACCAUUAGUUGUUUGUGUGUGGUAGUCAUUUUUAUUUAGCUGAAUUGAAUUCUUUCAGAGCUGACGAUAGACCAAACCAAGAUUUCAUCAUAACGGGACAAAAGCAAGACAAGCACAAGAGAUGCAAUUAAGUUUAAUUUAUAGUGCCUUUUUUAAUUAAUUUUUAUUGAAUUAAUAUUAGAUUAUUUGAGGGAGGGAGCACUGGGAAAAAUCUUAAGUAUUCAAUUACAGACUUUCAGAAUGACAAUUUCAGGAAGGUUUAUUAGCAUCACAGCUAGGUAAAAAAAACAGUGAUGUCUCAAUUUUAAUCGAACCAAUCUCAUUUUUACAAACUGGGUAAAUCCCAAGGAUGGAUCGUCUCUUUACAGCUGAUGAAUGAACAGAACAUUAUAGCACAUCUCUCAUCCAUUAAACCACAAUAGGCUUUGUGCUUUGUUACUUUUGAUAAGAAACAAAGUCUUAGAUUUGAAUUCUGUCCAUCUUAUCUUGAAAUGUCACCAAUAAAUCUGACUGUGGUGCUCUCUAUCUAAUGCAGUGACGAUCACGCAGUGUGCCUCAGGUCAAGUGAAGCGGCAGCAUGCAGCACACUUGAAAGAUCACGUCUUCCUCUGUUUUUAACACCAGUUACGGGCUACAGCGCCAAAUAAACAUGAAUGAAUGCCAAAGGGUCUGUAAACAGAUACAGGACAAUUUACUGACAUUAAUCCUGUCACAUGUAAUCGCUCAAUCAGUGUUUCAGCCGUACUUCAGAGACGUCACAAACAGCUCGUCAACAAGAUGUCAUGUUUCUCAUCAAAUCCAUAUUCAGGGACCAUGAACUUGGAUAGCUGGUGAAAUAAUGGCAGUGAGCAUUACUCAGGAUGGACCUUUUUCAUGGAGUGGAUUUACAAUUUCAUUUCUUCCGGGAGAUUAAUAAAGAUGAGCUGACAUAACAGAUGCAGACCUGCUAGAUCUGAUUGACAAGAUUGAGACUGCAGACACUACAGCCUUGCUUGAGCUUUCUGAAAGAAUCGUAGCAUGUGGUACACAGGAUCCUAACAUGUGAUGAAAGGAAGACAUUGUCAGGUGUAGUAUCUGUGAUUCUGUCCAUCUGACUCUCCUCCUUUCUCUUCAAUCCACACAUCAGGGUUAGAUGUUUUUGGGACAUUAUACUCAUUUGUAGACUCUCAUCUGCAGCUUUUACAGGUUUUCCAUUGUCAUGAGAAAAAAUGAAAUAUCUGAUGGCCCUGUCACUGUUUUAAGUGCGGUGGGUUCAGUGAAGCGCAGAGAGAAUCACGGAUUGUGAACUACUUGCAGGACUUCAUUCAAAGCCUUGAAGAUGAAGGGAACAUCAUUACUCUUACUCUUAAUACUUAAAUCACAUCAGUUCAACAACGGACCGGGCAUCUGACCAGUCAGAGCAGAGAGGGCUUGUGGAAAAGACUGAAGAUUUGGAUCACUUCACACUUUUGAAUAUAAACUUGUUGUAGGAAACCUCUAAAACUAUUUUAAAAUAGUAUAUUAGGGGCACUUUAAAAAUGUGAGGUAUUGUCAGUCCAAGUUCAGAGACUGUUAACAC